rnacentral:rRNA from 1 species
UGGGGAAUAUUGGACAAUGGGCGCAAGCCUGAUCCAGCCAUGCCGCGUGAGUGAUGAAGGCCCUAGGGUUGUAAAGCUCUUUCACCGGUGAAGAUAAUGACGGUAAUCGGAGAAGAAGCGACGGCUAACUUCGUGCCAGCAGCCGCGGUAAUACGAAGGGGGCUAGCGUUGUUCGGAAUUACUGGGCGUAAAGCGCACGUAGGCGGACUUUUAAGUCAGGGGUGAAAUCCCGGGGCUCAACCCCGGAACUGCCUUUGAUACUGGAAGUCUUGAGUAGGGUAGAGGUGAGUGGAAUUCCGAGUGUAGAGGUGAAAUUCGUAGAUAGUCGGGGGAACACCAAUGGCGAAGGCGGCUCACUGGACCAUUACUGACGCUGGGGUGCGAAAGCGUGGGGAGCAAACAGG